CUUCACCAGGUCUGGAACACCUCAUCCGAUCCACGAGUAAUUCGUAACUUCGGCAAGCACAAUAACGAAAAAAAGAGCAGAUCUUCUUUCUGUUCCCUGAGCAAUUUGCAUGUUUAUAAUUUUUUCUAAAGUUUUUAAUUAUUCUAUAUAUUUUAGAAAAUUUUGAAAUAGGAUAUAGAUAUCGUCGAAUAAUCGAUUAAUAUUUAUCAGUGCAGUUUUUAAGAUAGCUUCAAUUUUGAAUUUUACUAAAAUUUAAGAUAUAUAUUUUCAAUCCACUUUGUGUAUUGGUUCUUUGCCUUGUGGUUUUUUAUUCUUGUUUCCGUAUAUAAAAUUUGCUAUUUUAUUUGCUUGUAUUUCUUAAUUGGGUAAGUAACGCUGUGAAUUUUUUUUUCGGCAAACUAAAAAUGGUGAAUCAUUCAACGUCUUUUCUUUAAUAAUAGAUAUGAAAAUUUUUUCUUAAAGAUGGUGAAUUGUUUACUGUCUUCCAAAUUUCUUAUAAAAAUGGUGAAUUAUUCAACGUCUUUACUUUAAUAAUGGAUGAUUUACUGUUUCUUUCUAUUUUUCAUAUAAUUCCCAUGAUCACAUAAAAAUUUCAACAAUAUAUUUACAAUUUCAACAACCUACAAAUUUUAGUACUCUAUCCAUACAACAAUUCUAACAAUAAAAAAAAAUUAUAAUAAUCCAUAUAUAAUUCUGACAAUUUAUUUUUUUUGUUUUACAUAUAUAAUAAUAAUAAUAAUAAUAAUAUAAAAAUUAUGAAAAAUCACAUAUAAAUUAUGAAGGUGGUGAAUUGUUUGCCGCCUACCUAAUGACGGUGAAUAGUUUGAAAAUAUUGUAUAUUUUAUAUUUGGAAAUUGUAAUGUUAAGUUUGUUAUUGACUUAUCAAGUCUACGUAUAUUUUUAUUAGUAAAAUAUUAAUGGUUUCCAUAAUAAAAAUACCUUAUAUCCCUAAUUUAAUAUUCCCACCACCUAUAAAUUUACAAUAAUUUUACUACAACAGAAAAUUUUGAGGAGCUUAAAAGCCAAAAAAGCUUGAAGCUUAUCGUAAUCAAAUUUAACGGAACUAAUGUAACCUACAACCCUAAACCCUAACGUAAUCUUAUAUAUCUCGUUAAACACAUUCAAGUUCGAUAAAUUAUUCACCGCUUUCUAAAUUUUCUACAAAAGCUUUGCUUUUAAGCUGAUACUCUGAACCCUAAACAUUGCUUUUCGGAUUCAAAUUCUCCAUUAAAAUUAAAAUUUUUAAUUCGAAACUAAUAAUUUAAAAUUAAAGUUUUGAAUUUGUAUUGAAAGAUAUAAAUUUAAAACUGAAUUAAAAAUUUGAAUUGAAAUUAUUUCUCUCUCCCCCUCCCAGUUAGGGAUGUUUGGAUCGGGUUUUUAAAAAUCUGAAUCCGAAUCCGAAAACUAAAUUAAAACUCGAAUCCGGACCUGAACCGGCGGGUUUUAAAAAUUUAUACCCAUAUUCGGACCUGACCAAAAACCCAAAACCUGAACCUGGACCCGAACCCGGCCGAUUUUAAAAAUCCAUACCGUUGGAUAAAAAUCUAAAAAAUAAAAAAUAUUAAAUAUUUUAUAUAUUAUAUAAAUAAAUAAAAAUAAAUUUUAUAUAUAUAUAUAUAUAUAUAUAUAUAUAUAUAUAUAUAUAUAUAUAUAUAUAUGUAAUU
rnacentral:lncRNA from 1 species